CGCAGGCCGAUGCCUACUCUGAAGCAGGCUCAUCUCCCAGUCCUUGGACCACCCCAGCCUCCCCAAUUAUACCUGGAUUUCUGGGAUUUGUGUCAAACUCUCCCUCAGUUAUAUUUUUUUCUUUCUUUUAUUUUUUAUUUUUGAGAUAGAGUCUCACGUGGCCAAGGCUAGCCUUGAAUUCGAUGCUGGCUAAGGAUGGCCUUGAACUUCUUUCUGAUCCAACGUAUCUCAAGUCCUGGCCCCAUAGGCAUGCUUAUGUGGUGCUGAGAAUCAAAACCAGGGCCUGGUGCAUGCACAACAAGCAUGCUGCCAACUGAGCUACACCCAGAUCUCAGCUUUCUCUGCGUGGUUUUCUGGGAACACUAUGCACGGUGUACCCUGCAUUCAUAUACUAACUUAAAAGAGCCUCUGGAGACCCAGGCUCCCAGGGAGAAGAAAAGCAAGGGCCUUCACAGUAGAGAGCGGGGGAUCCAAGAGAUAUGCCUGGGAGACACACAGGGCUGUUCCAAUGCUCCUAGGGAAUCUAGUCCCAGGGCUGCAGCAGACCCCAGAGAAGCCCGCCUGAGCUCCUGCUGCAAAGGAGAAAAGAACACCAGGAGAGAGGAGAAAGCCGAGGCUGCACCUGCCCCACAAGAGCUGAGAACCCAGACUAAGGCCAUCUGUAGUCUGCAGGAACAGGAAACAUCCCCAGGUGGCCUGCCAAUAAAAGCCGAAUUCUAUAAGCUGA